CACGGGGGGAGCAAGCGUUGUUCGGAAUCACUGGGCUUAAAGCGUGUGUAGGCGGAUUUGUAAGUACCUUGUGAAAUCCCACGGCUUAACCGUGGAACUGCUCGGUAUACUGCGAAUCUUGGGCCAUCUAGGGGCGAGCGGAACAAGUGGUGGAGCGGUGAAAUGCGUAGAUAUCACUUGGAACGCCAAUGGUGAAAACAGCUCGCUGGGGAUGUGCCGACGCUGAGACACGAAAGCCAGGGGAGCGAACGGG
rnacentral:rRNA from 1 species